rnacentral:misc_RNA from 1 species
ACAGAGACGCAGCAUCGGGAUGGUAUAGCUUAGCUAAAUUCCGGUAAGCUGUUUUUAUCUCUUUGGGUGACGCAUUUGAUUUUACCCUUAGUACAUCGUAGAGACUCGCCGGUGUUCUCCUUUGCAAUUCCGGCGGUGCUUCCGCAACGGCGGCGGCAUAUACCGCUGCUGUUCGAUUAUUCCUUCGGGGAAAUGUGACUCCGGAUCUGAAACCGGCUGUGGAAGAAGGAAGGUUGUGUAGAGAAAAACGGAAAGUAUUUCCGGCCGGUAGUGUUAG